AGGGGCGAGCUGCGCCCGCCGCGCUCCCUGGACUCACGAGCGCAGGGCGCCGGCUGGCUGCGCUCCCCUCCGCCGCCGCCUCCUCCUCCCGAGUGGGCUCGGCCCGGCGGCCGGGGCGAUGUGAGCCGGGGCCCGCGGGCGCGGCCGGACCUCCGCGAUGUGGCUCAAGCCCGAGGAGGUGUUGCUGAAGAACGCCUUGAAGCUCUGGGUGACUCAGAAGAGCAGCUGCUACUUCAUCCUGCAGCGGCGCCGGGGGCACGGCGAGGGGGGCGGCCGGCUCACGGGUCGCCUGGUGGGUGCCCUGGAUGCAGUGCUGGAUUCCAACGCCCGGGUCGCUCCGUUUCGAAUUCUACUCCAGGUCCCCGGCUCCCAGGUGUAUUCUCCCAUAGCAUGUGGUGAGUUACUGAGUGGAUCGGACGUUUACUGGGCCGUGGCCACGGGUGCCACGUUAGAGGAAAUAAACCAGCACUGGGACUGGCUGGAGCAAAAUCUCCUCCACACCUUGUCCGUCUUUGAUAAUAAAGAUGACAUUGCCAGUUUUGUCAAAGGGAAGGUGAAGGCUCUGAUCGCCGAGGAGACAAGCAGCAGGCUGGCCGAACAGGAGGAGGAGCCUGAGAAGUUCCGAGAGGCCCUGGUGAAGUUCGAGGCCAGGUUCAACUUCCCGGAGGCCGAGAAGCUGGUCACCUAUUACUCGUGCUGCUGCUGGAAGGGCAGGGUGCCCCGUCAAGGCUGGCUCUAUCUCAGCAUCAACCACCUCUGCUUCUAUUCCUUCUUCCUGGGCAAGGAGCUUAAACUUGUAGUCCCUUGGGUUGACAUCCAGAAGUUGGAGAGGACAUCCAACGUCUUUCUGACAGAUACCAUCCGCAUCACCACACAGAAUAAGGAGCGGGACUUCUCCAUGUUUCUGAACCUAGAUGAGGUGUUCAAGAUCAUGGAGCAGCUGGCUGACGUGACACUCCGAAGGCUGCUGGAUAAUGAGGGCUUUGACCUGGACCCAGGUCUGCAGGAGCCCAGCCAGAUAACCAAGAGGGACCUGGAAGCCAGGGCACAGAACGAGUUCUUCCGGGCCUUCUUCAGGCUGCCGAGGCGGGAGAAGCUGCACGCCGUCCUGGACUGCUCCCUCUGGACUCCGUUCAGCCGCUGUCACACGGCCGGGCGGAUGUUCGCCUCCGACAGUUACAUCUGCUUUGCCAGCAAGGAAGCUGGCUGCUGCAAAGUUAUCCUCCCGUUCCGAGAGGUCGUGAGCAUUGAGAAAAUGGAGGACACGAGUCUGCUGCCAAACCCCAUCAUUGUCAGCAUCAGGAGCAAGAUGGCCUUCCAGUUCAUUGAGCUCACGGAUCGCGACAGCCUGGUGGAGAGUCUGCUGGCGAGGCUGAAGCAGGUGCACGCCGACCACCCCGUGCACUAUGACACCACACAGGAUGAGGACCUGACUUCGUCUGUGUUUCAUUCAACAAGCAUGUGCGGUGACCACAGGUUUGGGCGUAUUGAGAUGGUGUCUUCUCAAAAUAGCGAGGAAAGGGAGAAAGAGAUGAGCCCGCAGCUGCACCCCGAGGCCCUGGUCGCCGGUUUCUGGCGGUCGGGCAGCCAGAGCCCCGACUCGAGACUGCCCAGAGAACAGAUCAAGAUGAGACUGUGGAACGACCACUUCGUAGAGUACGGCAGGACCGUGUGCAUGUUCCGUACGGAGAAGAUCCGGAAGCUGGUGGCCAUGGGGAUCCCCGAGUCGUUACGCGGCAAACUCUGGCUCCUUUUCUCUGAUGCCGUCACUGACCUCGCCUCGCAUCCCGGUUACUAUGGCAACCUGGUGGAGGAGUCCAUGGGAAAGUGUUGCCUGGUGACGGAGGAGAUAGAACGGGACCUGCAUCGCUCCUUACCGGAGCACCCCGCCUUCCAAAACGAAACGGGGAUCGCUGCUUUGAGGAGAGUCCUGACGGCCUAUGCCCACCGGAACCCCAGAAUCGGGUACUGCCAGUCCAUGAACAUCCUGACCUCCCUUCUGCUGCUAUACACCGAGGAGGAGGAAGCCUUCUGGUUGCUGGUUGCUGUGUGUGAGCGGAUGCUGCCCGACUACUUCAACCAUCGAGUCAUUGGGGCCCAGGUGGACCAAUCGGUCUUCGAGGAGCUCAUCAAGGAGCAGCUCCCCGAGCUGGCAGAGCACAUGCAGGACCUCUCGGCCCUGGCGUCCAUCUCCCUCUCCUGGUUCCUGACACUGUUCCUCAGCAUCAUGCCCCUGGAGAGCGCGGUGAACGUGGUUGACUGCUUCUUCUAUGAUGGCAUCAAGGCUAUCUUCCAGCUGGGGCUGGCCGUGCUGGAGGCCAACGCCGAGGACCUGUGCAGCAGCAAGGACGACAGCCAGGCCUUGAUGGUCCUCAGCAGGUUUCUGGAUCACAUCAAGAACGAGGAUAGCCCUGGACCCCCGCUAGGCAGCCACCAUGCCUUUUUCUCGGAUGACCAGGAGCCCUGUCCUAUGACCGACAUUGCCGACCUGAUCCGGGACUCCUACGAGAAAUUCGGAGACCAGUCUGUGGCUCAGAUUGAGCACAUGCGCUGCAAACACAGGAUCAGGGUCCUCCAGGGCCACGAAGACACCACAAAGCAGAAUGUGCUGCGAGUCGUUAUCCCCGAAGUCUCAGUCCUUCCAGAAGACCUAGAGGAACUCUACGAUUUAUUCAAGCUCUGCAGGCCUUUCAUUUGUGUAGGACUAACUAUGAAUAUAAACUUCAACUAUAAAUGCAAGACCAAUUUCAAAAUGCACUUCCAAAAGAAAUCCCAGGACAAAUGUGUCAUCAUCAUGGUGUCUAAUUCCGUCUUACAGCCUGAGAGAGAACACAUGAUGAGCUGCUACUGGGAGCAGCCCAGGCCCGUGGCCCUGCGCCAUGACCCCAGCAGGCCCUACGCGGAGCAGUACCGCAUAGACGCCCGGCAGUUUGCACGCCUGUUUCAGCUCGUCUCGCCGUGGACCUGCGGGGCCCACACAGAAAUCCUCGCUGAAAGGACUUUCAGGCUCCUGGAUGAAAACGUGGACCAUCUGAUCGAAUUCAAAGCAUUCGUGAGCUGUCUCGAUGUUAUGUAUAAUGGAGAAAUGAAUGAGAAAAUUAAACUGUUAUAUAGGCUGCAUAUCCCUCCAGCACUCACUGAAAAUGACCGAGACAGCCAGUCACCAUUGAAGAAUCCUCUGUUGUCGACGUCAAGACCCCUGGUUUUUGGCAAGUCCAGUGGUGAUGCAGUUGAUUAUCAAAAACAGCUGAAGCAAAUGAUUAAAGAUUUAGCCAAAGAGAAAGACAAAACCGAGAAGGAGCUGCCCAAAAUGAGCCAGAGAGAAUUUAUCCAGUUCUGUAAAACACUGUACAGUAUGUUCCAUGAAGAUCCAGAAGAAAAUGAUUUGUAUCAAGCCAUCGCCACGGUAACCACUUUGCUGCUGCAGAUCGGGGAAGUGGGGCAGCGGGGCAGCAGCUCUGGAAGCUGCUCCCAGGAAGCAGGGGAGGAGCCGCAGGCUCCGGUUCCUUCUCCUGAGCAGGACUCGGUGUUUGCCGGCACCCACAAUGGGAAGAGCCCCCGAGAGUCCCAGGCAUUUCCUGAAGCGGCACAAGGGGACUGGACUGUCUCCCUUGAACAUAUUUUAGCUUCACUUCUGACUGAACAGUCACUAGUCAACUUUUUUGAAAAGCCACUGGACAUUAAAUCCAAACUUGAAAAUGCCAAGAUCAAUCAGUACAGCCUCAAAACUUGUGCAAUGAACCGCCAAUCACAGCCUGAACUCAAGCUGAGUAGCCCGUAGCAGGACAGCAGUUGGCUUGAGACCAGUCUCCAUACCAAAGCACAGUCCAGCGUCUGAGGUCUGGACUGCGCCAGUGAAUGGAUACCCUGGAGGUCCCUCUGCCCCACCAUGUUCCCGGCGGAUAGUACACUACACUGCAGGUAGCCCCCAACCCACUACUGUCAUCACCAGGGCUUCAAAAGGGGACCUCUUUCUGGCAUUUUAUUCAUAUCAGUGGUACAAGCACUGAUGAAAUAUGAUCCCUGCAACACCCUGCUUUCAGGCCGAAUUUAGCAGACUCUGUUAGCAACCUUUUAAGAAAGGUUACCCCUGAGCUUUUAACUCCAUGUAAACCAGGACUAAAAACACCUCACGGGGCCACCACAAGUAAGUGAGGAACUGUACAUACUUCAUUAAAUCUAAGAAUAUCCAAAGUGUACCAUUUUAGCAUGUUAAAAGUGGCAAUUAAGUUCUACAUGCCAGUGCCUGGAAAAAUGUUAUCUUAGAAUUCACAAAACACACCUGUAAAAGCAUUAACAUCAUACCCCCAGUGUCCCAACCACCUGAACAGCCAUAACCAAGCCAGGAUGCAUUUAAAAAGCACCUCAGAACACCUGCCUAGGCCCUGUGCAAAUAUCCAGAAACUCCAGGGAAUGGGGAGAAGGGGCCCAGGCACAGCAGUUAGGAAACACUCUCCAAACGCUCCUGUAACUGGGAACUGCUUUAAAAUAGACAAGCCUAUUUUACCUGCAACUAGAAAAGGAAAAUCAAGAUGCGAAGGCAGCUCUGUAACUUUAUUGGAUAAUCAGUAGUUAGUUCUCAUCCACAUUAACUGUCUGUAGAUCUGCAAAAGAAGACAGCCCGUCACCUUCCACACCCACACACCCCGUCCCAUACUUUCACACCCCAAGAACCUUUUCUUCAAGGGUUUAGGUAAAUGUUACUAUUCCACGUGACCUUUCACAACCCAGAUAACAGACCUAUUCUGUAUCCUUUUGCAUUUUCCCACACCAUGACACAAUUUAAAAAAGGUUUACCGAUUAUGCCUGUAGCUUAUAUCCCUACUGGAAGGAUGCCAGGGAUAUGGGUGCACAGUAUUUGAACAAAUGAAUUCAGGUUAUAAAAAGGCUGAGGACUUAAACAGCUUUGUGGGAUGAAGUAGAACUUACUUUUGAAAGUGGUGACAG